CACAGAUAGGACCUGCACAAAGGAACACACAAUGGUGCUGAGACAGAUGCCUCUAUGACAACUGAAUGUAGCUGUUUCUUCUUUAUUGGGAGCAUCAGGGAGUAAAAGCUCAAUUAUUAUUUCCGCAUGUAUACAGCCCAUUAAAAGCAGGCUGAUUGGAGCGGAUACAUAUUUAAAAGCACAUCACCAAAGGGUACAAGAAGACAAAAACGGUUCAAGGCCUGUAUUUCAACUGACACCUUUCUUCAAGUUUAACAGCUAAACAAGCCAGUUACACCAGUUACUGAGAUGCCAUCACUCUGCAGAGUGAUGGCAUCCAUGGGGAAGGACCUCACAGACCACUGAAACACUUUCAGUAUCUCAGGGUUUAGACUCUUCAUGAGCACAGUUCUGCAUAGCAUGACAUUACUCUUGAAGACUUUAAAUCUUAGCCAUGUAUCUCUCAGGUUUGACAGAGUUUAAUCCAAGAGUCACUAUGUUUAAUGGAUUCCCAUGAGCUACUAGUACACUGCUUGAAUAGACUUUGGAAAGUUCCACUUUUAAUAGAUUUGCUGCCAAAUCAAUUUAAUGCCUUUGAAUUGGUUCAGUAUAAAAUUAACAGUCUUGGAGACUUUGGUCAAAGCUGAGGAUGAACUGAUGGGUUGAAGCAUAAUGAUAAUUACCUGAUUGAUAUGCUGUUGGUUCUUUUGCAUGACAAGAAAACAGCUCAAAGCCUUACAGGCUUCCUGUUGCCAGUUUGUCCUUCCCGUAUCUCUGAUUAAUGGCUAAUUACCCACCAGCUGACUGGGAAUGCCAAACAAGCCUCAGCAUUUGUGAGAGUCCUUGACCAAGUCAUUUGGCUAGGAUUCUAGUUUUUGGCAGAGCUGGAGUUGGAGUCUUUACA